CCUGGUUGAUCCUGCCAGUAGUCAUAUGCUUGUCUCAAAGAUUAAGCCAUGCAUGUGUAAGUAUGAGCAAUUCAGACUGUGAAACUGCGAAUGGCUCAUUAAAUCAGUUAUAGUUUGUUUGAUGGUAACUACUACUCGGAUAACCGUAGUAAUUCUAGAGCUAUCGUGCAACAAACCCGACUUCUGGAAGGGAUGCAUUUAUUAGAUAAAAGGUCGGUCGGCGGGCUCUGCCCGUUGCUCGAUGAUUCAUGAUAACUUCGGCGGAUCGCAUGGCCUUAGUGCUGGCGGCGCAUCAUUCAAAUUUCUGCCCUAUCAACUUUUCGAUGGUAGGAUAGUGGCCUACCAUGGUGGUAGCGGGUGUGGCGGAGGAGAAUUAGGGUUCGAUUCGGAGGGGAGCCUGAAAAGCGGCUACCACAUCCAAAGAAGAAGGCAGCGGCGCGCAAAUUACCCAAUCGACCGGGGGGAGGUAGUGACAAUAAAUAACAAUACCGGGCUCUUUGAGUCUGGUAAUUGGAAUAAUUACAAUCUAAAUCCCUUAACGGAUCCAUUGGAGGGCAAGUCUGGUGCCAGCAGCAGCGGUAAUUCCAGCUCCAAUAAGCGUAUAUUUAAGUUGUUGCAGUUAAAAAGCUCGUAGUUGAACCUUGGGAUGGGUGCCCGGUCCGCCGGUGUGAGCACCGGUCGGCUUGUCUCUUCUGUCGGCGAUACGCUCCUGGCCUUAACUGGCGGGUUAGGUGCCUCGGCUGUUACUUUGAAGAAAUUAGAGUGCUCAAAAGCAAGCCUACGCUCUGUAUACAUUAGCAUGGGAUAACAUCAUAGGAUUUGAUCCUAUUGUGUUGGCCUUGGGGAUCGGAGUAAUGAUUAACGGGGACAGUCGGGGCAUUAAGUAUUUCAUAGUCGGAGGUAUUAAUCAAAAGCGAAAGUUGGGGCUCGAAGGCGAUCAGAUACCGUCUAGUCUCAACCAUAAGCGAUGCCGACCGGGGAUCAGCGGAUGUUGCUUUUAGGACUCCGCUGGCACCUUAUGAAAUCAAAGUUUUUUUGGGUUCGGGGAGUAUGGUGCAAGGCUGAAACUUAAAGAAACUUAAAGGUGUGAAGAAGGGCACCACCAGGAGUGGUGUAAGACCGAACCCUGGCCUCUCGACCUGAUGGAGUCCAUGAGGCUUACUUAUUAAUUUCUUUGCUUUUUGAUCCAUUUUGAUGUCUAUUAGUUACUAAGUCAUAUUGAAUAUGAGGUUCAUAAACAAAGGAACAGAUUUGCACAGCGGAAUAACAAUGUAUAAACUUUGUAUUACUUAGAAACAUGAGAUUCAAUACACAACUUCUUAACAGUCUAACAAUGUAGACAAUCACUAGUUCAUCCCUAGUAUCAUCUAACCACCACGUUACACAGCCUCUCACUGCCGAGCCUUCCGCGGCUCCUUGGCUGACCAGAACCAUCCUUAGUUCCUGAAACCACAACCAGAUAAGCAUUAAUCAUAGCAGAGAAUAGAGCGGAUUGAUUCUACCAUGCUUGGCUUGGUUCCUAGAACUUAGAUAAACCUCGUCAACAUAAUCACAAAAGCGUAUGGACCUACCUACCGUAUCCUAAGUCAUACAACCAACCACC
rnacentral:rRNA from 1 species